GGAUACGGCUGUAGAGCGGCCGGCUGGGAUCGUAGAUAGGAGCGGUGGAUUUGCAAGGCCUAGAAUAGCUGGGGAGUGGUUUCCCCGCGGAAUCGGCCUCCCUGCCGCGCCUGCUUUGUACUGUGACGCUCAGCCUGUGAUGACUGGUGUGGAAUCCGCUGAACCACCUUGGCCUAAGGAGACUUUGCCACUCUGAGAUUGUAAAUCUGUAAAAUAGAGAUGUAGGAUUAGCCCAUAGGGUAGUUGUGGUAAAUACUGUGAGACAAUACGGGGCCUGGGACACAGCAUUCAAAUGGGAAUAAUGAAGGUCAAGACUGUGAUUCCUGUAUCUUUGACGCUGUCGGUAUAAGCACCGUCGUGGGCACAGGGCAGUGGCCUUUAUGUAGGAGUUUAAGAGGGAAGGAAGGAAUGAAUGGGCAAACUCUAGAGUUCCCAAGUAUUCUUUCCAGGAGCUGUUUCCAUUCUUUUCGUUUCCAGCAGAUUCAAGAGGCAAUUGUUGGAGUGUAAAAAGAGCACGGGACUUGGAGUCAAAUACUUAAGUCUACCAUCAAGUAGUUGUUAAGAAUUAAACAACAAUUUUUGUGUACCCAGUUAAAUGUGGGCUGCUUAGGAAUGAUGACUGUGUCUUAAUGAUCUCUGUAUUCCUAGUGACAUGUAGAAUCAUUGUGCCUGACACAUAGUAUGUACUCAGGAAAGAAAUAGAAAAUGUGGUUUUAGCAUUGAAGGCCAGGAGAGAGGGUCUAACAGACUACAAGCCCCACCAGGAGCAGAGUAAGGGAAACAAAGGAGAAAAAAGUGUUUUUAGUCUGUACUGAAUGUAUUUACACUGUUUGUAGCCCAAAAGCCAAAAGCGUACAUAAGCUUGGCUUUUCUGUAGCUAUGUUUAUGGCUUUACAGCAGAUUUUAUGGAGCUGCAAUUACUUUGAUCAUGAGGGACUGAUGCUAGUGGAUUUACAUCACCAAAUGGAACUCACUCUGUGG
rnacentral:antisense_RNA from 1 species